CCUACGGGGGGCAGCAGUGAGGAAUAUUGGUCAAUGGACGAGAGUCUGAACCAGCCAAGUAGCGUGAAGGAUGACUGCCCUAUGGGUUGUAAACUUCUUUUAUAUGGGAAUAAAAUGUUCCACGUGUGGGAUUUUGUAUGUACCAUAUGAAUAAGGAUCGGCAAACUCCGUGCCAGCAGCCGCGGUAAUACGGAGGAUCCGAGCGUUAUCCGGAUUUAUUGGGUUUAAAGGGAGCGUAGGUGGAUUGUUAAGUCAGUUGUGAAAGUUUGCGGCUCAACCGUAAAAUUGCAGUUGAAACUGGCAGUCUUGAGUACAGUAGAGGUGGGCGGAAUUCGUGGUGUAGCGGUGAAAUGCUUAGAUAUCACGAAGAACUCCGAUUGCGAAGGCAGUUCACUGGACUGCAACUGACACUGAGGCUCGAAAGUGUGGGUAUCAAACAGGAUUAGAUACCCGGGUAGUC
rnacentral:rRNA from 1 species